CCUGGUGGUUCUAGCGGCGGGGUCACACCCGAUCCCAUUCCGAACUCGGAAGUUAAGCCCGCCCGCGCCGAUGGUAGCUGUCCUUGUGACCGCAAGAGUAGGUCGCUGCCGGGA
rfam:Candidatus Peribacteria bacterium RIFCSPHIGHO2_01_FTLL_51_35 rifcsphigho2_01_scaffold_4176, whole genome shotgun sequence.